rnacentral:sRNA from 1 species
GCCCGGGCUAGACGUUGAAAACACUAAGGGGAGCGCGCGAAGCUGAACUUGGCGCUCGAUGGGGGCCGUUAGCCGCCCCAGAGCGCGCGGAGCCGCAGAGGCGUAGCUGGACUACAACGCAGUGCAUCUCGGGAGGCCAACUCGACUGGACCGGGUGAGAGGGCAGAGGUGGCUCGAUGGGCCGCCCGAAGGCCGGGGAUCAUGGCGGGCAGGCGGGCCCAGCCAGGUUCAGCCCCGCCCCGCCGCUCCCCACUCCCGGCCGGCCUCGCGUGCCUUCCCGCAGCACCGCCGUCCCCGGGAUGCUGAGCGCCCACCGUCUCCCCGCAGCCCCCUCAUGCCCGGCUGCGAGCUGCCCGUGGGCACCUGCCCGGACAUGUGCCCGGCCGCCGAGCGCGCCCAGCGCGAAAGGGAGCGCCGCCUGCACCGCUUGGAGGUGCUGCCGGGGUGCCGCCAGGACCCGCCCCGCGCCGAUCCGCAGCGCGCGGUGAAGGAGUACAGCCGACCCGCCGCCGGCAAGCCCCGGCCCCCGCCCAGCCAGUUGCGUCCGCCCUCGGUGCUGCUGGCCACCGUGCGCUACCUAGCCGGUGAGGUGGCGGAGAGCGCCGACGUCGCCCGCGCCGAGGUGGCCAGCUUCGUGGCAGACCGCUUGCGAGCUGUACGCCUGGACCUGGCCCUGCAGGGCGCGGGCGACGCCGAGGCAGCGGUGGUGCUGGAGGCGGCGCUGGCCACGCUGCUGGCCGUGGUGGCGCGGCUCGGGCCCGACGCGGCGCGGGGACCCGCGGACCCGGUGCUGCUGCAGGCCCAGGUGCAGGAGGGCUUCGGCUCGCUGCGGCGCUGCUACUCGCGGGGCGCCGGGCCGCACCCCCGCCAGCCCGCCUUCCAGGGCCUCUUUCUGCUCUAUAACCUGGGCUCGGUGGAAGCCCUGCGGGAGGUUCUACAGCUGCCUGCUGCUCUGCGCACCUGCCCACCCGUCCGCAAGGCCUUGGCGGUAGAUGCUGCCUUCCGAGAGGGCAAUGCUGCCCGCCUGUUCCGUCUGCUCCAGACCCUGCCCUACCUGCCAAGUUGCGCUGUGCAGUGCCAUGUGGGCCAUGCCCGCCGGGAAGCCCUGGCCCGCCUCGCUCGUGCCUUUAGCACCCCCAAGGGCCAGACCUUGCCCCUGGGUUUCAUGGUCAACCUCCUGGCCCUGGAUGGACUCAGGGAAGCACGGGACCUGUGCCAGGCCCACGGGCUGCCCUUGGACGGAGAGGAGAGAGUUGUGUUCCUGAGGGGUCGCUACAUGGAGGAAGGGCUACCGCCUGCCGGUACGUGCAAGGUGUUAGUGGAGAACAAACUUCGAGGACGUACCCUGGAGGAGGUGGUCAUGGCAGAGGAGGAAGAUGAGGGCGCGGACAGACCUGGGUCCCCAGCCUGAGGAGGGAGCGUGAGCCUCCCAGAGCCCCAGGACUGGGCCAGAGCACUUAGGUUUCUUUUUCCAUGGUUCCCAGAUAAUAAAAGGAACUUGUUUUGUUGGUA